rnacentral:rRNA from 1 species
UACAGAGGUCUCAAGCGUUGUUCGGAUUCAUUGGGCGUAAAGGGUGCGUAGGCGGCGCGGUAAGUCGGGUGUGAAAUCUCGGAGCUUAACUUCGAAACUGCAUUCGAUACUGCCGUGCUUGAGGACUGGAGAGGAGACUGGAAUUCAUGGUGUAGCAGUGAAAUGCGUAGAGAUCAUGAGGAAGACCAGUGGCGAAGGCGGGUCUCUGGACAGUUCCUGACGCUGAGGCACGAAGGCCAGGGGAGCAAACGGG